UUUUAUAUAUCUAAUGAAAGUAUUAUUUACAGAUUGCCAAAAAGGAAAGCAGAUUUUACAGAGCAGCUUAACAUGAGAUGUAAAGCCGACAGGGCGAAGUUAAACGGCUGGGAUUGCUGGGAAUGCAAAGAGUAUUAUGAGAAUUUGUCGCUGUCGAAAGAAGAACUACAGAAAAAGGAGGAAUCAAUGCCCGCGACAUCGACACAAAUAUGAGCGACCAAACACACCAGAAGGUUUUUGGAAUCCAGAAUUUCCUGAGACGUUGUCAUGCACCUAUCGACAGAAUUGAAGCCGAAAUGUGUCCUUAUGCCAAUCUGAUUCUCAAGCUUCAAUAUGGUUCG